AAGCUACUCCCUCCGUCCGAAAAUACUUGUCAUCAAAAUGGAUAAAAGAUGAUGUAUCUCAAACUAAACUAAAAUACGUCUAGAUACAUCCUCUCUUAUGCAUUUGGUGACAAGUAUUUCCGGACAGAGGGAGCACUUA
rfam:Triticum aestivum genome assembly, contig: Triticum_aestivum_CS42_TGACv1_scaffold_500204_6BL